AUUACCAGACGCGGGAUAAGACGGGUGUCAUUUCGAUUCAGUUUGUGCAGAGUCGCUGAGUUUUCUAUUCCUUGGAUUUUAAACGGGAAAUUAUUUCACUAGCUUUCUACAGAUUUACGUCAUCAUGAAUAUUUUGCUCAUGCUAAUCCUCAUUUCUGGUGUUGUUGCUAUGGUAGCCACAGACUGUGACGUAGCAGGAUGUAUGCGCGGGAUGCCUGAAGCUGGUUCUGGAAAGAGUAUUUGCUCACCUAUGAGAAUGAUAUUAACAUGUUUAGAAAAUGUGGUGAAUACUUGUCCGAUGUUGGCUGAUCACCAGGAAGCCAUAAGCAGACCUCUUGUUGAAGCAUUGGACUCCUUCAGCAGAUAUUGCGGGGACGGUCCCCCCAACACGUUACCAUAAUGUUGUGCUCUUUCUGUGGGCGUUUUCUACACGGAGUUAUCCAGUCUCAGCAUUUGCUUGCCGUAGUCCCUGUAGCAUUCGCAGCGGCGUCUAUAGUCGUUUGUAAACAUAAAUUGUAUUUUUUCUUGGACUGAUAUUUAGAAAUUGAACAUAUUAACACAAGGUACGGGUUUAGUUGUAAAUGACCCCCCCAUAAUCAAAGGUGUUAAGAUGUAUAUGUUACUUGUGUUGCAUAUUGUGUAUUAUGUUUGUCUUCUAAUCAUUAUCGGUAUCAUUUACUUAAUAAAGACGAGAGUAUCCCCGUCGAAACGUCGCUUAGUAUUAAACUCAGUAAUUGUGUAACGUUGGUGCAAUAAAUAACACAAAUAAUUCUUCAUGAAUUGUGCAUACCCUAUAGUUUCGGGUGCCAUUUGUUCAAAAGAUUAUAGCCCUAAGCCCUUUAAGCAUACCAGCUCCUGCCAAUACCAUCGCCACGUAUUCUAGCUGCUCCUCUGACAUUCACUGAAUUCUGUAGAAUUUUAAUUGGGUUAAUCCGUUUAUAUACGCCCACAUUUUCACGUGGACGUAUAUUGUCGUCACCCCUGUCCGUCCGUCCACAAUUUGUUUGUUGACAACUCUACAGGUUACAAUUUGUAUCCGAUUUUGACGACACUUGAAAUAUAGUUCUAUUUCCCAAAGACCUCGGUUCCUUUCGAUAUUGGCAUGUAUCGGACUAAAACUGCAUAGAUUAUGGCCCCUGAUUGUACGAAAAAUCACAUCUGUAGCUUGUAGACACUCUAUAGGUCACAAUUUUGAUCCGAUUUUGAUGAAACUUGAAAUGCAUGUUUCGAUGUUCGCGCAUAUCGGAUCGUAACUUCCUGAAUUAAUGCGUUGAUUGAUAAGAAGCCAGUUUAAAUCUUUCAGUACAGGUGUGAUGUGCUCAUAUUGUUUCGUUCUGGUUAUAAUACGGGCAGAAAUAUUUUGAAUUUUUUUUAAGAUGUUGUAAAGUUGAUGCGGGAAUGCCAAACAGUAACCAAUUGCAAUAGCCCAGGCGAGGUGUGAUCAGAGCAUUUACUUUGGUUUUAGUUGUAUCUGUAUCUAGGUAUUUACGAAUUCCCGCAGAGAUGAUUGGAGGAAGAUUUGCAAAUUGAAGAAAUAUGUUGUGUAAUGUCCAUGGUGUUGUUAAAAAUUAAACCAAGGUUUCUAGCGGAA